ensembl:lncRNA
CAAACUCCUGGCUCUUUCCUGCCCAGCCAGCUCCCCUCCGGAAGGAAACUCUGCCCAGAAACAUGCCCGGUUGGCACUACUCAGCCUGGGAGGCUUGGUCGGCCCAGAUCCUGUGAACACCGCCCACAUUGCCCUUCCUCUGGGCCAUAAAGACCCUCUCCUCUCAGCCCUGCCCAGCCCAGGCAGGUGAAACAGCGAGACCGCCCGAGAUGAGAAAACUGAGGUUCCUGUCACAGGACUCAAACCUUAUUCCAACCAGUAAGCUGCCUCUUACUCCAUGACACACGGAUGCCUCUGGACAAAGCUGACCAUAGAAGGGCCUUCCAGAAUUGAUCUUGCAGCCUGCCUCCUUGGCCUACAGGGCUUUGCCCUGGAGACAUCAAUAAGAGACUCAGUUUACUUCUGUCCAGAAACCAGCAGGGCCUCCUUGCCCUCAGGCCAAGGAUUUACCUACCACUCUUCUCUGAAUCAGAGGUCUUCUGCAUGGCUGGCAUUCACCAAAGACAAGGCAGCAGCUGGAGAUCAGAGUUUAUACCCCAGGGCAGCGGUCCCCAACCUUUUGGCACCAGGGACUGAUUUCGUGGAAGACAGUUUUUCCACAAACCAUCAUGAACGUCAUCAUGUUGGGAGCCCUAGCAGAGGGACAGAUUAAGGAGCUGGGUUCAAGCCAGGUGCAAGCAAGCAAGCGAG